rnacentral:rRNA from 1 species
AGCGAACGCUGGCGGCAGGCUUAACACAUGCAAGUCGAGCGGGCACUCUCGGGUGUCAGGGGCGGAUGGGUGAGUAACGCGUGGGAUCGCGCCUUCUGGUCCGGACUAACACUGUGAAACUUGAGCUAAUACCGGAUACGCCUACUUGGUGAAAGGCUUGCCGCCGGGGGAUCGGUUCGAGUCUGAUUAGGUAGUGGGUGAGGUAACGGCUCACUCAGGUGGGGAGUAGUGGCUGGUCUGAGCAGAGGAUCAGCCAGGCUGGGACUGAGACACGGCCCAGACUGCGAGGGGAGGGAGCGGUAGAGAGUAUUGGGCAAGGAACGCAGACCUAGUCCAGCCGUGCCGCGUAAGUGAUGAAGGCCUUAGGGUUGUAAAGCUCUUUGAGCCGAGGCGUGAGUGACGGUACCGGGUAAAUAAGCCCCGGCUAACUACGUG